rnacentral:sRNA from 12 species
CCUAGUAACCGUUUUUACGAAGUAAGCUAGGUUACACGCUUAUUUACUAUGGGAGCCCAGCUCUUAUAAAAUACAGUCACGACAUCUAAUGUGUGAAGUGGUGGUGAUAACAAGAAGUAAAUAAGCUAACUUGG